rnacentral:rRNA from 1 species
GACGAACGCUGGCGGCGUGCUUAACACAUGCAAGUCGAACGGAAAGGCCCUGCUUUUGUGGGGUGCUCGAGUGGCGAACGGGUGAGUAACACGUGAGUAACCUGCCCUUGACUUUGGGAUAACUUCAGGAAACUGGGGCUAAUACCGGAUAGGAGCUCCUGCUGCAUGGUGGGGGUUGGAAAGUUUCGGCGGUUGGGGAUGGACUCGCGGCUUAUCAGCUUGGUGGUGGGGUAGUGGCUUACCAAGGCUUUGACGGGUAGCCGGCCUGAGAGGGUGACCGGCCACAUUGGGACUGAGAUACGGCCCAGACUCCUACGGGAGGCAGAAGUGGGGAAUAUUGCACAAUGGGCGGAAGUCUGAUGCAGCAACGCCGCGUGCGGGAUGACGGCCUUCGGGUUGUAAACCGCUUUCGCCUGUGACGAAGCGUGAGUGACGGUAAUGGGUAAAGAAGCACCGGCUAGCUACGUG